rnacentral:rRNA from 1 species
CAGAACGUCGUGAGACAGUUCGGUCCCUAUCUACCGUGGGCGUUGGAAAUUUGAGAGGAUCUGCUCCUAGUACGAGAGGACCAGAGUGGACGAACCUCUGGUGUACCGGUUGUGACGCCAGUCGCAUCGCCGGGUAGCUAUGUUCGGAAGGGAUAACCGCUGAAAGCAUCUAAGCGGGAAGCCUGUUUUAAGAUGAGGUUUCAU